rnacentral:rRNA from 1 species
GACGAACGCUGGCGGCGUGCUUAACACAUGCAAGUCGAACGGAAAGGCCCUGCUUUUGUGGUGUGCUCGAGUGGCGAACGGGUGAGUAACACGUGAGUAACCUGCCCUUGACUUUGGGAUAACUUCAGGAAACUGGGGCUAAUACCGGAUAGGAGCUCCUGCUGCAUGGUGGGGGUUGGAAAGUUUCGGCGGUUGGGGAUGGACUGGCGGCUUAUCAGCUUGUUGGUGGGGUAGUGGCUUACCAAGGCUUUGACGGGUAGCCGGCCUGAGAGGGUGACCGGCCACAUUGGGACUGAGAUACGGACCAGACGCCUACGGGAGGCAGCAGUGGGGAAUAUUGCACAAUGGGCGGAAGCCUGAUGCAGCAACGCCGCGUGCGGGAUGACGGCCUGCGGGUUGUAAACCGCUUUCGCCUGUGACGAAGCGUGAGUGACGGUAAUGGGUAAAGAAGCACCGGCUAACUACGUG